UACGGAGGGUGCAAGCGUUAUCCGGAUUCACUGGGUUUAAAGGGUGCGUAGGUGGGUUGAUAAGUCAGUGGUGAAAUCCCCGAGCUUAACUUGGGAACUGCCAUUGAUACUAUUGACCUUGAAUACCGUGGAGGUCAGCGGAAUAUGUCAUGUAGCGGUGAAAUGCUUAGAUAUGACAUAGAACACCAAUUGCGAAGGCAGCUGGCUACGCGAAUAUUGACACUGAUGCACGAAAGCGUGGGGAUCAAACAGG
rnacentral:rRNA from 1 species